UACGAAGGGGGCUAGCGUUGCUCGGAAUCACUGGGCGUAAAGCGCACGUAGGCGGAUUGUUAAGUCAGGGGUGAAAUCCUGGAGCUCAACUCCAGAACUGCCUUUGAUACUGGCGAUCUUGAGUCCGGGAGAGGUGAGUGGAACUGCGAGUGUAGAGGUGAAAUUCGUAGAUAUUCGCAAGAACACCAGUGGCGAAGGCGGCGCUCUGGGCCGGUACUGACGCUGAGGAGCGAAAGCGUGGGGAGCAAACAGG
rnacentral:rRNA from 1 species